GGAAACCAUGUGAAGACACAGUGAGAAGGCAGCCACCUCAAGCCAGAAGGAAAACCCUCACCAGGAACAGACCCUGCUGGAACUAGGUCUGGGACUUCUAGCCUCCAGAAUUCUGGAACAGCGAGAUGCAAAAUCCUGAACCUUCAAAGCCAGCUCCUGCAGAAGAGAGAGGGCCUGGCAGCUGAGCUGGAUGCUUCAGGAGCAGAGGAUCUAUCAACUGCAGACCAAGCAUAGGGAGACGCAGGCAGACCUGGAACAGAAACCCAGCCAGCUCCAGCCGCUCCGACAGUACUUGGUGGCCAGAGAGUCGGCAGCAGGAAGCAUGAG